rnacentral:rRNA from 1 species
AGGAAAUAGAUACCCCGGUAGUCCACGCCCUAAACGAUGUCGACUAGGUGUUCGGUGAGGAGACUCAUUGAGUACCGCAGCUAAACGCGUGAAGUCGACCGCCUGGGGAGUACGGUCGCAAGAUUAAAACUCAAAGGAAUUGACGGGGACCCGCACAAGCGGUGGAUGAUGUGGAUUAAUUCGAUGCAACGCGAAAACCUUACCUACCCUUGACAUGUACGGAACCCUGCUGAGAGGUGGGGGUGCUCGAAAGAGAGCCGUAACACAGGUGCUGCAUGGCUGUCGUCAGCUCGUGUCGUGAGAUGUUGGGUUAAGUCCCGCAACGAGCGCAACCCUUGUCAUUAGUUGCUACGCAAGAGCACUCUAAUGAGACUGCUGGUGACAAACCGGAGGAAGGUGGGGAUGACGUCAAGUCCUCAUGGCCCUUAUGGGUAGGGCUUCACACGUCAUACAAUGGUCGGUACAGAGGGUUGCCAAGCCGCGAGGUGGAGCCAAUCCCAGAAAGCCGAUCGUAGUCCGGAUCGCAGUCU